rnacentral:rRNA from 1 species
GUCGAACGCUGGCGGCAUGCCUAAUACAUGCAAGUCGAGCGAAGCGGCGGAUGGGCGAGUAAUGCGUGGGUAACCUGGCCUUCAGUCUGGGAUACCAUUUGGUAACAGAUGCUAAUACCGGAUAUUAACGGAUUGAUCUGUGAUGCAUUAGCCAGUUGGUAAGGUAACGGUUUACCAAGGCGAUGAUGCAUGGCUGGGUUGAGGGACUGAUCGGCCACAGUGGGACUGGGACACGGCCCAAACUCCUACGAGAGGCAGCAGUAGGGAAUCUUCCACAAUGGGCGAAAGUCUGAUGGAGCAACGCCGCGUGAGUGAAGAAGGUUUUCGGGUCGUAAAGCUCUUUUGUUGGAGAAGCGGUAAUCAACCAGUAAGUCACGGCUAACUACGUGCCAGCAGCCGCGGUAAUAC